AGAGUUUGAUCCUGGCUCAGGACGAACGCUGGCGGCGUGCUUAACACAUGCAAGUCGAACGGAAAGGCCCUGCUUUUGUGGGGUGCUCGAGUGGCGAACGGGUGAGUAACACGUGAGUAACCUGCCCUUGACUUUGGGAUAACUUCAGGAAACUGGGGCUAAUACCGGAUAGGAGCUCCUGCUGCAUGGUGGGGGUUGGAAAGUUUCGGCGGUUGGGGAUGGACUCGCGGCUUAUCAGCUUGUUGGUGGGGUAGUGGCUUACCAAGGCUUUGACGGGUAGCCGGCCUGAGAGGGUGACCGGCCACAUUGGGACUGAGAUACGGCCCAGACUCCUACGGGAGGCAGCAGUGGGGAAUAUUGCACAAUGGGCGGAAGCCUGAUGCAGCAACGCCGCGUGCGGGAUGACGGCCUUCGGGUUGUAAACCGCUUUCGCCUGUGACGAAGCGUGAGUGACGGUAAUGGGUAAAGAAGCACCGGCUAACUACGUGCCAGCAGCCGCGGUGAUACGUAGGGUGCGAGCGUUGUCCGGAUUUAUUGGGCGUAAAGGGCUCGUAGGUGGUUGAUCGCGUCGGAAGUGUAAUCUUGGGGCUUAACCCUGAGCGUGCUUUCGAUACGGGUUGACUUGAGGAAGGUAGGGGAGAAUGGAAUUCCUGGUGGAGCGGUGGAAUGCGCAGAUAUCAGGAGGAACACCAGUGGCGAAGGCGGUUCUCUGGGCCUUUCCUGACGCUGAGGAGCGAAAGCGUGGGGAGCGAACAGGCUUAGAUACCCUGGUAGUCCACGCUGUAAACGGUGGGUACUAGGUGUGGGGUCCAUUCCACGGGUUCCGUGCCGUAGCUAACGCUUUAAGUACCCCGCCUGGGGAGUACGGCCGCAAGGCUAAAACUCAAAGGAAUUGACGGGGCCCCGCACAAGCGGCGGAGCAUGCGGAUUAAUUCGAUGCAACGCGUAGAACCUUACCUGGGUUUGACAUGGAUCGGGAGCGCUCAGAGAUGGGUGUGCCUCUUUUGGGGUCGGUUCACAGGUGGUGCAUGGCUGUCGUCAGCUCGUGUCGUGAGAUGUUGGGUUAAGUCCCGCAACGAGCGCAACCCUUGUUCACUGUUGCCAGCACGUUAUGGUGGGGACUCAGUGGAGACCGCCGGGGUCAACUCGGAGGAAGGUGGGGAUGACGUCAAGUCAUCAUGCCCCUUAUGUCCAGGGCUUCACGCAUGCUACAAUGGCUGGUACAGAGAGUGGCGAGCCUGUGAGGGGGAGCGAAUCUCGGAAAGCCGGUCUCAGUUCGGAUUGGGGUCUGCAACUCGACCUCAUGAAGUCGGAGUCGCUAGUAAUCGCAGAUCAGCAACGCUGCGGUGAAUACGUUCCCGGGGCUUGUACACACCGCCCGUCAAGUCAUGAAAGUUGGUAACACCCGAAGCCGGUGGCCUAACCGUUGUGGGGGAGCCGUCGAAGGUGGGACUGGUGAUUAGGACUAAGUCGUAACAAGGUAGCCGUACCGGAAGGUGCGGCUGGAUCACCU
rnacentral:rRNA from 1 species